UACGUAGGGUGCGAGCGUUGUCCGGAAUUAUUGGGCGUAAAGAGCUCGUAGGCGGUGUGUCACGUCGGCCGUGAAAACCUGCAGCUUAACUGUGGGCGUGCGGUCGAUACGGGCAUCACUGGAGUUCGGCAGGGGAGACUGGAAUUCCUGGUGUAGCGGUGAAAUGCGCAGAUAUCAGGAGGAACACCGGUGGCGAAGGCGGUUCUCUGGGCCUGUGCUGACGCUGAGGAGCGAAAGCGUGGGGAGCGAACAGG
rnacentral:rRNA from 1 species